UACGGAGGGUGCAAGCGUUGCUCGGAAUUACUGGGCGUAAAGCGCGUGUAGGCGGUCUCGUAUGUCUGAUGUGAAAUCCCCGGGCUCAACCCGGGAAGUGCAUUGGAAACUGCGAGACUGGAGUCCCGGAGAGGAAGGUGGAAUUCCAGGUGUAGCGGUGAAAUGCGUAGAGAUAUGGAGGAACACCAGUGGCGAAGGCGACUUUCUGGUCUGUAACUGACACUGAGGCGCGAAAGCGUGGGGAGCAAACAGG
rnacentral:rRNA from 1 species